ensembl:lncRNA
UGACUCUGUGUUUAUGUUUAAAGGCUCUGGACUACCAUAGUAAGCGAGGUACUCCACUCGAACCUGUCCUGCAUGUCUCCGAUUAGAAAAAUGAAAACUGUUCCCUCCAGACACCUGCUCCAAACCACUGGCAAGAACUUGAAACAGUCAACUAGCCAGAACCGGCUAAAAGACAGAAUGAAAGGGGGAAAUGAGGGUGACUUUGGAUCCAUUAUGAGUAAUGCUCGGCCCCUGCUGGAGACGCUGGAGCAGAGGAACAAACGUGCUGAUGAUAAAUGAAAUUUGUUUGAAAUUACAAAGAAAGAGGCGCAUCAAGCAUCAUCAAGGGGAUUCCACAUCAGCCACAGGUUUCACUGACUAUGGAGAAAGGCUUUGGAUGUUGAAUGUUGAAAUGAUCUUAACUCACUGGUUUGCCAUCCCAGCCAUCAACGGUGACACUAAACGUUCCAAUAAAGUGCAACCUUGAUACACUGAUGCCCAGGAAGCAUUAAAGUUUUCUCAGGUUGAAUCUGGCUCAUAAACAUCCGUGACAAGCUUUCCGCUGAAGUGAUGCACUCAAGAGGUCAAUGGCAUCUUUUUAUUGCUUUGUAAGUUUAAUGUUUGCAUUAUAACGCUGGAAAUAUCUAAUAAAAUCUGGGAACAGACAGAGUAAUGUCCCUCUGAACCUUGUAUGUGGCAUGGAAACCGAUGGCCUUUUACACUGAGUUGUAUUGUCUGGAAUUGGUUUACUAUGAAUAAGUAUCCAUGGAAAUAUCUGUAGGAAAUAUCCAUUAAAAGGCAAACCAUAUUGUUAUGGGGAGACUGUAACCCUCUUAAUCUAAAUUUCCUUGAUAUUCUUAAAUUCCACUUCCACUGAGAUGUAUACUGAAAUACUUCCUUCAAAAAUAGAAAAGUGAUAUAAAACCACCAUAUAUGUCUGCAAUUGUUUGAAUAUGUCUAUUAGACAUUGGAUAUGAGUUAUAACAACCAUAAGAAAACAUGAUGGUUUCAAUCUGUUUUAUAGGCAGAAAAUCUGAUGACGUUUAAAGCUGAUGGUGUUGAAAAAAAUUAUAUUUUGCCAUUUUCUUUUGUAGUGGCACUAGUAUUUAGCUAUAUUAUGAGUUUUGAAAACAAAACAAAAAUAAAAAAAAUGAAAACAAAACUGAAAGGAAAGAAAAGAAAAAUGAAAACAAAACAAAGAAAAUAAAAAACUAAAGGAAAAACAACAGACAAACAAAGACAUAACAUUUAAUAUGAAAAACAAAAUGAAAAAAAAAAAACAGACACAACACAAAACAAAAGAAAGCAAAACUAAAACCAAAAGAAAACAAAAGUAUAAACAAUUUAGAAAAUUAAAUUAAAUUAAAUUAAAUUAAAUUAAAUUAAAUUAAAUUAAAUUAAAUUGACCUUCAGGAUGAAGAAUAAUUUAAUAUUAAUAUUUUACUUUUUUUAUUAAAUUUUUUUAUGGUAUUGGAGUACUGAAUUAUCCUCUGAGGAUGCUCAGGUCGUUAUAAUGGCAGUUUUUGAUACAAACAAACAGAUAAAAUGCAACUACAUUGGUGGUGACAUUUUAUUGAUCAGUCUUUUCAAAAUGGAAAUGUAGGCGGCGUCAGUUUCUACAAUCUUGUCAAUGGGUUUCGGUUACCAUUUCCAUUGCUCCCCUAAGAGACGGUUUAGUAUCACACAUCCUUUUGCAUCGCUCUCUCUGUCUGUCUGUGUGGAUUUAGCAUUAGCUUCUGAAAAGCCAGUGUCUUUGACUCGGAUAUAAAGCAGGUCACUGGGCAGGCAGCAACAUUGUUAGUUCUGCAGAAGAGUUUCGCUUCAAAUGCUGGGGGUGGAAAAUGUCAUGAUGGCGAACGGAUGGUUUUCAGAGCUGCCAAGCAGGCUUUUGGAGCAGUAGACCAAGAGGAGACACAGAGGACCCCAGCCCUCCUUCUAAUUAACUAUUUAACACCUUAGAUUAAGUAAACAGUGAAUUAUUGAAAGCACUGAGCGCUGUGCUACUGGGAAGGGCACAGCAGAAAGCCACACUGUACUGUAAAAGAGCUGAAUGUGUCGCAGCAUGUUAAACGCCUUGAGAAAUGAAGCAGUGCUGCGCCAGAAUGUAAUAUGUAAUAUGCAAUAAAUUAAAUACAACCACCUAUCAAAAAGACGAGAAAUCGCUUACAAAGAAUUACAAAGAGUGAUUUUUAAAAUAAAACCUCACGACAUGGACAUGCAGAGCAGCGGCUCACAUUCAGUUUUACUUCAUAAGCCAGAUUUUUACACUGAAUGUCAUGUGGCGAUCCAACAAAAGAGCAAAAGUGCUAUACAGCAAUGUGCAUUUAAAUAAAUUAAAUUGAAAUAAGUAUAAAAAUAAAAUAAAAUAAAAUGAUUCAAAAGGGCACAAAGUUGGUUGAAUAGGAAAGUGGAAUGGUUAGAGAAUGUAGAGAACUCAAAUAAAAUCUGUGACUUUACCAUCAUGCCCAAACCAGAUAGAAUAUACAGAGAUUGCUGAUUCAAUAUGAAAUAUUAUUGUGUUGCCUAAAAUGCAUUUUGCAGCAAAGAUGAAGCUGAUUUUGCACAUCAAUGCUUUUGUAUUAUGAGGCAGACAGAAAUCAUACCCGAGCUGUAUCUAUUUGUGACAGGAAAAUGGCCAGAAAUGUGUAAAUCUAUUUGUAAAGUGAAACAAUUUUUUUUUUUUUUUUUUUACUGUCCCUUAGCAGUGUUAGUUAGCAUAUAUAUGAACCUUAUCAUUAUUUUAGAACAAGCAUAUUUAAAGUUUAACCCCACACCUCAUACAUAUACUGAAAGAAUUUACAUUUAAAGCACAUUAAAAGCCUUAAAAGCAAAGCAAAAAAUAAAUAAAUAAAAUAACAAAAACAAGUCACAAAAACAAAAUGAAAAAUCAAAUAAAUAAAAUAAAAUAAAAAUGUCCAUGUGCAUUAAUAAAAUGUGGUUAAGUAAAAUAAAAAGGUAAACACCUAAAAUUUUGUUUUUGCACGUUUCAGAGCAACCCACAUUAGAGGUCCUUGAAUGAAUCAGUGUUUUUAAACAAAAUGGUUAAAGGAUUAGUUCACUUUCAAAUUAAAAUGUCCUGAUAAUUUACUCAACCCCAUGUCAUCCAAGAUGUUUACUUCUUUCUUUCUUCAGUCGAAAAGAUUUUUGAUGAAAACAUUCCAGGAUUAUUCUCCUUAAAGUGGACUUCAAUGGCUACUAAACGGUUGAAGGUCCAAAUUAAAAUUUAAGUGCAGCUUCAAAGGGCUCUACACGAUACCAGACGAGGAAUAAGGGUCUUAUCUAGUGAAACGAUCUGUCAUUUUCUAAAAAAAAAAUUUUUUAUAGACUUUAUAAACAGAAAUGCUCACCUUGCACUGCUCUGCGAUGCGUGUCUAUGACUUCACGUAAUACAUAAUCACGUUGAAAAGGUCACGCUAGACGUAGGCGGAAGUACAGACUCAGUCAGUGUUUACAAAUGUGGAGAAGGAGGACUGUUCAAAAGUUGUAUGUUCAAUGACACAUAUUACAUUUUUUUGUAAACAGUGUUUGACUUGUAAACACUGAGUCGGUACUUCUGCCUACAUCACGCAUGACCUUUUCAACAUAAUUACGUAUAACGUGAAGUGGUUGAGUCAAGGUGGAGCAUUUCUGUUCAUAAAGCAUAUACAUUUUAUUUUUUUAUUUUUUUUAGAAAAUGACCGAUCGUUUCCCUAGAUAAGACACUUAUUCGUCAUCUGGUAUCGUGUAGAGCCCUUUAAAGCUGCACUGAAACUGUAAUUUUGACCUUCAACCGUUUGGUAGCCAUUGAAGUCCACUAUAACGAGAAUAAUCCUGGAAUGUUUUCAUCAAAAACCUUCAUUUCUUUUCGACUGAAGAAAGAAAGACGUAAACAUCUUAGAAGACAUGGGGGUGAGUAAAUUAUCAUGAAAUUGUAAUUUGAAAGUGAAGUAAUCCUCUAAGUAAAUGAUUCAAUGACACUCAUAAACUUCAAUAAUAAUAAUAAUAAUAAUAUUAACAACUUCCUUGCAAGCUGUAUGGAAAGUAUGUUAUUAAUCACUUGUCGCCACCUACUGGCGUAGCUAUAUAACCUACAGAAAAUCAUCAUCACUAAUGCACAGUGACUGAUGGAAACACAGACAAGGGGAGUGAUACAAACAGGGAAGGUUCUCAAAGUUAUGAAUAAACGUUCCAGUUAUGAUAAUAGAACAUUUGUCUUUAAUAAUUUUCUCUAAACAUUAUUUAUAUAUCAUUCGAGAAGCAUUUUUCUGAAACAUUUUAGUAGACGUUCAUCUACUGUAUUUAAACAUUAUGACUUAUUGCUUGUUUACCGUUCAGAGAACAUUCAAAAGUAAAGUUCACAUAAUGUUUGGCCUUAAUGUUUUCUGUAAU